rnacentral:rRNA from 1 species
AGAGUUUGAUCCUGGCUCAGGACGAACGCUGGCGGCGUGCCUAACACAUGCAAGUCGAACGAGAAUCUUUGGAAUGAUUCUUUCGGGAUGAAUUCCAAAGAGGAAAGUGGCGGACGGGCGAGUAACGCGUGAGUAACCUGCCCAUAAGAGGGGGAUAAUCCAUGGAAACGUGGACUAAUACCGCAUAUUGUAGUUAAGUUGCAUGACUUGAUUAUGAAAGACUUAUCGCUUAUGGAUGGACUCGCGUCAGGUUAGAUAGUUGGUGAGGUAACGGCUCACCAAGUCAACGAUCUGUAGCCGAACUGAGAGGUUGAUCGGCCGCAUUGGGACUGAGACACGGCCCAGACUCCUACGGGAGGCAGCAGUGGGGAAUAUUGCGCAAUGGGGGCAACCCUGACGCAGCAACGCCGCGUGCAGGAAGAAGGUCUUCGGAUUGUAAACUGUUGUCGCAAGGGAAGAAGACAGUGACGGUACCUUGUGAGAAAGUCACGGCUAACUACGUGCCAGCAGCCGCGGUAAUACGUAGGUGACAAGCGUUGUCCGGAUUUACUGGGUGUAAAGGGCGCGUAGGCGGACUGUCAAGUCAGUCGUGAAAUACCGGGGCUUAACCCCGGGGCUGCGAUUGAAACUGACAGCCUUGAGUAUCGGAGAGGAAAGCGGAAUUCCUAGUGUAGCGGUGAAAUGCGUAGAUAUUAGGCGGAACACCAGUGGCGAAGGCGGCUUUCUGGACGACAACUGACGCUGAGGCGCGAAAGUGUGGGGAGCAAACAGGAUUAGAUACCCUGGUAGUCCACACCGUAAACGAUGGAUACUAGGUGUAGGAGGUAUCGACCCCUUCUGUGCCGCAGUUAACACAAUAAGUAUCCCACCUGGGGAGUACGACCGCAAGGUUGAAACUCAAAGGAAUUGACGGGGGCCCGCACAAGCAGUGGAGUAUGUGGUUUAAUUCGAAGCAACGCGAAGAACCUUACCUGGGCUUGACAUCCCUGGAAUCGAGUAGAGAUACUUGAGUGCCUUCGGGAAUCAGGUGACAGGUGGUGCAUGGUUGUCGUCAGCUCGUGUCGUGAGAUGUUGGGUUAAGUCCCGCAACGAGCGCAACCCCUAUUGUCAGUUGCCAUCAUUAAGUUGGGCACUCUGGCGAGACUGCCGGUGACAAAUCGGAGGAAGGUGGGGACGACGUCAAAUCAUCAUGCCCCUUAUGCCCA